GAAAGUAGGAAAGGGCAUACGGUGGAUGCCUAGGCUCUUACAGGCGAUGAAGGACGUGAUAAGCUGCGAUAAGCUUCGGGGAGGUGCAAAUAACCCUUGAUCCGGAGAUUUCCGAAUGGGACAACCCAGUAUUUUGAAGAAAUACUAUCCGGCACAAGUCGGAGGCGAACGCAGGGAACUGAAACAUCUUAGUACCUGCAGGAAGAGAAAAUAAACAAUGAUUCCCCUAGUAGUGGCGAGCGAACGGGGAAGAGCCCAAACCACUGUUGUUACGGCAAGAGUGGGGUUGUAGGACCGCGACAUCGGACGAAAGUUUGUGAGAAGAAGCCUCUGGAAAGAGGCACCGUAGAGAGUGAUAGUCUUGUAUUCGAAGCAAACCGAACCGUAGCGGCAUCCUGAGUAGCGCGGAGCACGAGGAAUUCUGUGUGAAUCAGCCGGGACCAUCCGGUAAGGCUAAAUACUCGUAAGAGACCGAUAGUGAACCAGUACUGUGAAGGAAAGGUGAAAAGCACCCCGAACAGGGGAGUGAAAUAGUUCCUGAAACCGUAUGCCUACAAGCGGUCGGAGCUCAGUAAUGAGUGACGGCGUGCCUUUUGCAUAAUGAACCUACGAGUUACCGUCGUUGGCAAGGUUAAGGGUAAUGAUGCCCCGAGCCGGAGCGAAAGCGAGUCUGAAUAGGGCGGCAAGUCAUCGGCGGUAGACGCGAAACCGAGUGAUCUACACUUGUCCAGGAUGAAGUCCCGGUAACACGGGAUGGAGGUCCGAACCAAUAAGCGUUGAAAAGCUUCUGGAUGAGGUGAGUGUAGGAGUGAAAGGCCAAUCAAACUCGGAGAUAGCUCGUACUCCCCGAAAGGCAUUUAGGUGCCGCCUCGGACGUUCCCGAUGUGAGGUAGAGCGACUGAUUGGAUGCGAGGGCUUCACCGCCUAUCAAGUCCUGAUAAACUCCGAAUGCGCAUCGGCCAAGUCCGGGAGUAAGGGCAUGGGUGCUAAGGUCCGUGCCCGAGAGGAGAAGAAUCCAGACCAUCGGCUAAGGUCCCGAAAUACUGGUUAAGUUAGACUAACGAAGUCCGGCCCCCAAGACAGCUAGGAUGUUGGCUUGGAAGCAGCCAUUCAUUCAAAGAGUGCGUAACAGCUCACUAGUCGAGGAGCUGGGCGUGGAUAAUAAUCGGGUAUAAAACCAGUUACCGAAGCCAUGGGAUACAUUAAGUAUCGGUAGGGGAGCAUUCCAUUCAGCGUCGAAGGCGCACCGUGAGGUGUUCUGGAGCGUAUGGAAAAGCAAAUGUAGGUAUAAGUAACGAUAAGGGGGGUGAGAUGCCCCCCCGCCGCAAGACCAAGGUUUCCUGAACAACGCUAAUCGGUUCAGGGUUAGUCGGGUCCUAAGCAUAAUCCGAAAGGUGAGGGCGAUGGCAGAAACGGUUAAUAUUCCGUUACUACCGAGUCGCGUGAUGCGGGGACGGAGAAGUGACACGGCCGCCGUCUGACGGAAUAGACGGUUGAAGGGCGUAGGCUAUGAGGAAGGCAGUAAAGUACACCUUCCGAGCUGAAACCCGAUAGUACGGAGCGUUCUUCGGAACAAUCCGAUAGUGCCGGUAACCAUGCUCCCGAGAAAAUCCGCUAAACAAUAACGGUUCGGUACCCGUACUGUAAACGGACACACGUGGUCGGGUUGAAUAUACUAAGGCGCUUGGGUGAAUCACGGUUAAGGAACUAGGCAAAUUGACCCCGUACCUUCGGAAUAAGGGGUCCUCGGUAAGACGAGGCGCAGAGAAUAGGUCCAGGCAACUGUUUAACAAAAACACAGGGCUGUGCGAAUUCGAAAGACGAAGUAUACAGCCUGACACCUGCCCGGUGCUGGAAGGUUAAGAGGAGAGCUCAGAGCAAUCGAAGGCUUGAAUUGAAGCCCCAGUAAACGGCGGCCGUAACUAUAACGGUCCUAAGGUAGCGAAAUUCCUUGUCGGGUAAGUUC
rnacentral:rRNA from 1 species